rnacentral:lncRNA from 1 species
AUCACCAAGAUUUAAAAAUUUAAAGUACAAAAAUAUUGUUCUUGGAUCACUAGGGUGCUUUCUAGUAAGCGCUCUUUUUUAUGUCACUAGCUUGAUCCGGUAGAGUUUAAACACCCACCAGUAGGUGUUGAAACUCCCCUUGCUUGAAAUUCUUUUCUUUUUCUUCUUCCUGCUGAAUUUCUUCAUAAAGUUGAGAGUACCAAGCACAUAUCUCCAUGUAUCAAUCAUAGGAACUUUAAUCUCCAAUUUCUUGAAGAUCUCCAUAAAGCACUUAAACUUCUUUUCUUUCCUAUGAUAUUUCUUUUGAUGAGGAAGAGGUAAUGCAUAUAAUCUUUUCUUCUUACCUCUCUUCCUCUUCUUCUCACUCUUCUCCCUCAACUUUCUCUUUUUUUCUUUUCUUAUUUUCUUCUUUAUUUUUUCAUAUUAUUUCUUUUUUUCUUUUUUCUUAAUCACUGCUUUUUCCUUAUUAGCAUCUUUGUCUCCCUCACUCAACUUUUCUGUUUUUUCUUCCUCUAUCUUCUCCUCCUUUCUCUCCAUUUUUUUCUCCUCUAUUUUCUCCUCAUCUAUCUCUAUCUUUUCUUCAUCUAUCUUCUCCUUAGCAACAACCUCAUCAAUUGAUGUCUCCAAAUUCCUGAGGGACGUUGGCAUUAAUUCAUAAAAAAGAAUUCUUAUAUACAUGAGAGGAAACUUGGUGAAAUCUAACCCCAACAACAUACUCAUCUCAUAUUAAUCAACCUCCAUUCAUAUCUGUGCUCUCUUGCCACUGAUCAAUUUUAUUUUGCUUUAUUUUAUUAUUUUUUCAAUACA